rnacentral:rRNA from 1 species
UGAAUACGAGAUGCUACGGCGUCGAAGCAGUCUAUGUCAUACUUCCAAGAAAAGCUUGCACUGUCAUAAACAAAUAAUGCCUGUACCAUAACCGACACAGGUGGGUAGGUAGAGUAUACUAAGGGGCGCGAGAUAACUCUCUCUAAGGAACUCGGCAAAAUGACUCCGUAACUUCGGGAGAAGGAGUGCCUUAUUUAUAAGGUUGCAAUAACAAGAUCCAAGCAACUGUUUACCAAAAACACAGGUCUCCGCUAAGUCGUAAGACGAUGUAUGGGGGCUGACGCCUGCCCAGUGCCAGAAGGUUAAAGAAGUUGGUUAGCAUCCGCGAAGCUGAUAACUGAAGCCCUGGUGAACGGCGGCCGUAACUAUAACGGUCCUAAGGUAGCGAAAUUCCUUGUCGGGUAAGUUCCGACCCGCACGAAAGGCGUAAUGAUUUGGAUACUGUCUCGGAGAGGGGCUCGGUGAAAUAGACUUGUCUGUGAAGAUGCGGACUACCUGCACCAGGACAGAAAGACCCUAUGAAGCUUUACUGUAACCUGAAAUUGAAAUUGGACUUUACUUGCGCAGUAUAGGUGGGAGGCGUUGAGAAUAUUCUUGCGGGAUUAUUGGAGCCAUCAGUGAGAUACCACUCUUGUAAUGUUAGAUUUCUAACUUUGUAUCAUUAUCUGGUCAAAGAACAGUUUCAGGCGGGCAGUUUGACUGGGGCGGUCGCCUCCUAAACGGUAACGGAGGCGCACAAAGGUUUCCUCUGAACGGGUAGAAAUCGUAUCUAGAGUGUAAAGGCAUAAGGAAGCUUGACUGUGAGACCUACAAGUCGAGCAGGGACGAAAGUCGGUCUUAGUGAUCUGACGGUGCUGAGUGGAAAGGCCGUCACUCAACGGAUAAAAGUUACUCUAAGGAUAACAGGCUGAUCUCCCCCAAGAGUUCACAUCGACGGGGAGGUUUGGCACCUCGAUGUCGGCUCAUCGCAUCCUGGGGCGGUAGUACGUCCCAAGGGUUGGGCUGUUCGCCCAUGAAAGCGGUACGCGAGCUGGGUUCAGAACGUCGUGAGACAGUUCGGUCCAUAUCCGGUGUAGGCGUUAGAAUAUUGAGAGGAGCCUUCUUUAGUACGAGAGGACCGAGAAGGACAUACCUCUGGUGUACCAGUUAUCGUGCCAACGGUAAACGCUGGGUAGCUAUGUGUGGAGUGGAUAACCGCUGAAAGCAUCUAAGUGGGAAGCCCACCUCAAGAUAAGUA